rnacentral:rRNA from 1 species
UACAGAGGUCUCGAGCGUUAGGCGGAAUCACUGGGCUUAAAGCGUGUGUAGGCGGGUAGUUAAGUGGCUUGUGAAAUCCCACGGCUUAACCGUGGAACUGCUUGGCAUACUGGCGAUCUUGAGCAACCUAGGGGCGAGCGGAACAAAUGGUGGAGCGGUGAAAUGCGUAGAUAUCAUUUGGAACGCCAAUGGUGAAAACAGCUCGCUGGGGGUUUGCUGACGCUGAGACACGAAAGCCAGGGGAGCAAACGGG